rnacentral:tRNA from 1 species
GUCGAGUUAGUAUAUUUAGUACGUAGUGUUGUGAUCGCUAAAGAAAUCGUUAUUACUUGACU